CCCUUCUGCAUUAACAGAAGUCUGUUAUAAUUGCGUGAUUCAGCUUUUGUUUCAUGCAAUAAUGCUAACAGACUAUUGCGCGGAAGGAGAUUAUUUUGCACUGUACUGAAAAUGAGAUGUGGUCGAACCUCUUUCUUAAUGUUCGUUGGCCUCGGUCUCAAGGUGCAGUGUCACAUUU
ensembl:snoRNA small nucleolar RNA SNORA81